GUUCGCGAGUGUGAUUUGAGCGUCACCUAUGUGUCCUUUGAGAAAAAGGUAUCUGCCUUCUCGGUCUUUUUCUUCUGCUUCCAGGCGGAACUGGGUGUCCGCCGAGAAUAAUAUGGCCACUCCCUUGGAUUUGGGGGAGGGGUUAUGCGCAUAGUAGCUGGUUGGGAAGUAUUUGUCUGAGAAUUUGGGGGCUUUUGUUUCUAG